UGGGGAAUAUUGCACUAUGGGGGAAACCCUGAUGCAGCGACGCCGCGUGAACGAAGAAGGUAUUCGUAUCGUAAAGUUCUGUCCUAUGGGAAGAUAAUGACAGUACCAUAGAAGAAAGCUCCGGCUAAAUACGUGCCAGCAGCCGCGGUAAUACGUAUGGAGCGAGCGUUGUCCGGAAUUAUUGGGCGUAAAGGGUACGCAGGCGGUUUAAUAAGUCGAAUGUUAAAGAUCGGGGCUCAACCCCGUAAAGCAUUGGAAACUGAUAAACUUGAGUAGUGGAGAGGAAAGUGGAAUUCCUAGUGUAGUGGUGAAAUACGUAGAUAUUAGGAGGAAUACCAGUAGCGAAGGCGACUUUCUGGACACAAACUGACGCUGAGGUACGAAAGCGUGGGGAGCAAACAGG
rnacentral:rRNA from 1 species